rnacentral:rRNA from 1 species
AGCGAACGCUGGCGGCAGGCCUAACACAUGCAAGUCGAACGAACCUUUCGGGGUUAGUGGCGGACGGGUGAGUAACACGUGGGAACGUGCCUUUAGGUUCGGAAUAACUCAGGGAAACUUGUGCUAAUACCGAAUGUGCCCUUCGGGGGAAAGAUUUAUCGCCUUUAGAGCGGCCCGCGUCUGAUUAGCUAGUUGGUUGAGGUAAUGGCUCACCAAGGCGACGAUCAGUAGCUGGUCUGAGAGGAUGAUCAGCCACAUUGGGACUGAGACACGGCCCAAACUCCUACGGGAGGCAACAGUGGGGAAUCUUGCGCAAUGGGCGAAAGCCUGACG